AUUGAACGCUGGCGGCAUGCCUUACACAUGCAAGUCGAACGGUAACGCGGGGCAACCUGGCGACGAGUGGCGAACGGGUGAGUAAUGCAUCGGAACGUGCCCAGUUGUGGGGGAUAACUGCUCGAAAGAGCAGCUAAUACCGCAUACGACCUGAGGGCGAGAGCGGGGGAUCGCAAGACCUCGCGCAAUUGGAGCGGCCGAUGUCGGAUUAGCUAGUUGGUGGGGUAAAGGCCCACCAAGGCAACGAUCCGUAGCUGGUCUGAGAGGACGACCAGCCACACUGGGACUGAGACACGGCCCAGGCUCCUACGGGAGGCAGCAGUGGGGAAUUUUGGACAAUGGACGCAAGUCUGAUCCAGCCAUGCCGCGUGCGGGAAGAAGGCCUUCGGGUUGUAAACCGCUUUUGUCAGGGAAGAAAUCUUCUGGGUUAAUACCUCGGGAGGAUGACGGUACCUGAAGAAUAAGCACCGGCUAACUGCGUGCCAGCCGCCGCGGUAACAC
rnacentral:rRNA from 1 species